rnacentral:lncRNA from 1 species
ACGGUCGUCUUUACAUAGACGAAGCAGGAAAGAUCAGACAUUCCAUCCUCCGGGUGUUUGUCACAGUUCAGCAUCCAAGCUGAAUCUCUAGUUACCAUGGAUGGAGAUGACCUUUCCUGGCUAUGCUAGCCAGCUUUCUGACCUCAAAAAAAACACCAGCAUUUAAGAUAUUGAGGGUCAGAAAAAUAUCAAGAACAGGCAGCUGAUUCUCAGGUGUCAAGCUCAAAAUCAGCAAGAAUCGGGUAGCAGAUGCAGAAGUCUGACUGGGAGCGAGAUCCCUCUCCCCUCUCCACCACGCACUAGGAGUGGAUACUAAAGCCAGAGGAAGGCUGACAACAUGAGGUGUUUCACAAAGGACAACAGGACGACAAGAGCUACCCUCAUCAUACAGAGAUCAAAAAGUAACCAGACGACAUGAGAGCCCUUCCCAACUCCAGCUAAGUGUCAGUGAGAAGGGACAAGUCGCAGCAGGGCUUUUCCCUGAGUUUGUGUGGAAGGAACAAGAACCGUUCUCUCUAUCAGGAACAACAGAUAACCAGAGCCAGAAAGAACACUUCUGUUAUCAGAAUGAUGCUCUACCACACACAUCUAUCUGAUCUUGACCACUAGAAUGAAGCUCACCCUCACUGUCAAGUGCCAGGUUUGAGAGCAGGGCAUCCGAACUGGCCUUUCAAUCCUAGGGCCCUCUUCCCUACUGUUUCCAAACCAACUAAGCCAAAACUGUAGUUCUGGUGAGGCUGUUGAGAAGACUCAGAGGUUAAAAGUACUUGCUGCUCUAUGGAGGACUCAGGUUCAGUUCCCAACACCCAUAUGAUCGCUCAUGAUCAUCUACAACUCCUGUUGCAGUGACUCUAGUGCCCUCUUCUGGCCUCUACAGGCUUCUGCAUGCCCGUGGUGCAUAUAAACUCAUACAGGAGAAUACACAUAUACAUAAAGUGGAAAGAUGAAUAAAUUAAAAGGCACCACAGAGAUAAGAGACAAAGAAAUGAGAAACAACCUUUUCGAUCUUUGGUACGGUGAAAUCUGCUAACUGCCCAGCUUCCACUCGCACAGGCUGGUAUUUCAUGAUCACCCCUGAGUUAUGGAUAUAAAAACACUGGUAAGAGGAGAAAUAUUUUUGAGCCUUUUACAUAAAACCUCCACGACUUUAGCACCAUGCGAUGAAGUAGAAGUGUGGGUCCCACGGUGAUUAACCAGAUUUUAUAGGCAAUGUUUCAAACAAGCACCAGGCUGUGUGUCUUCAGCUAUUGUUGGGAUGAUUUCAUUAGGUUCUCUGAUAAAUAAUGCAGGCUCUAAUGAUGCAUUUCCUCUUUAAAAAAAAAAAACCCACAAUGGAAACUCCAUUUCAUAAAGCAAAGAAGAACUAUGGCAUCUGUUUAAUUUUUAUUACUUUUAAAUUAAUCCGUAAGGUCUUAAGAAGUGGAUACCGACUUGAAAGGGGAGAAUAAAAGGGAGGGGAAAGGUUUACCUGUUUAAAAGGUGAACUCAUGCCCCGGUGAGUGGAAAAUGGAUCUAGGUCAAUAGCCAGCAUGGAAGCCCCACCUUCCUCCAUCGAGCUCUUUCCAGAUCACAAAAGGAAAGCGGUCCUGCCAAAUUAAAACUCUCCAUAACAAUAAACCCUGAUUUAAUGCAGUCAUUAUUUUUCCAUUAAAUCUGAAUAUCAUCUAAUGCAUGGAUGUUAUUUUAAACCUACUACACUAAUGCAAACCCAGCAUUCCUUAUAAAUCAGACCUAAAUGCUCAGUCAGUUGUCAUUACUGCGCUUGACAAUCACAGGACCCCGUCCCCAAGGGCACCGCCCCUCAAGCCCUGCCUCCACACAUGGGAGGAAGGGACAGAGAUGCAUUUAAUCUCGGGUGGAGAGACACUUGCGAGAGUGCACAGCCAGAGUCAGUAACGCCCUGGAGCUCUCUGCCUAAUUUGGUUCAACAUAAUCCUUGCUUCUCCAGACCACAUGAGGCUGGGAACAGUUCGAACUUGGCAUUUAAAACAUUGGGGAAAUAGAACCUUCUUCGAGGGCUUAAAGCAGAGAAGAGCUGAUGGAGGAGAUUGAGCCCACUGGGAAAGAUGUAUAUGGAAGAGCUGAGAGACUGAACAGGAGACGAUACAAGCCAAAGAGGAGUAACCACAAGCAGCACUGCGACCAUGGGCAGCUCUGAGACCACAGGUAGCUCUGUGACCAUGGCCAGUUCUGUAACCAUGGCCAGUUCUGUGACCAUGGGCAGCUCUGAGACCACAGGCAGUUCUGCAACCAUGGGCAGUUCUGUAACCACAGGCAGUUCUGCAACCAUGGGCAGCUCUGUGACCAUGGGCAGCUCUGUGACCAUGGGCAGCUCUGUGACCAUGGGCAGCUCUGUGACCAUGGGCAGCUCUGUGACCAUGGGCAGUUCUGUAACCACGGACAGCUCUGUGACCACAGGCAGUUCUGUGACCAUGGGCAGCUCUGCCCCUUGGCUGGAGACACAGAGAGAAGAGCAAGUGGCACCAGGAACCAUGGGCAAGUGAUGUUGACAGAUAGGGGAAGCACAUCAGGCAUUCAUAGACUCAGAAGAGGCUUGAACAAUGGGUUAGAAGCCACAGCUCCUGUCCAGUGCAAUGGGUUGCCCAGCUCCUUCCAUUUGUGAGCCUGCAAAACACAUUCUGGAACAUGAAAACCCGUUGGCAAGGAGAAAGCUUGCAGCUCAGUGCAAGGAUGACUUCUCCACAUCCUACAACCCAAACAUACAAUACAACUUGCAUCUGUCUAAAGCAUACUUCUUUCCUCUGCACCUUCCAAGGUCCCUAAAAUGAAAGAUCAGCGUUCAGCAAAUCUUGAAACCCUAUGUCAAACCUGACUAUAAAGGCUGUGCCUCCCCUUACCCUCUCCUAUACCCCUCUUAAUUCCCUCUGAACUUACAUUAAACCUUAUUCUGUGUUUCUCCACCUUUGACUUUUACUGUAACAUGCAGAGUUUCUCUGGCUGCCUCUGCUGAGUGCACAUAUUCUCUCUCCAGCCAUGUCUUACGUGAUAUUACACCAUCUGAUGCCCCUUGAACAGUAACUAUGCUAUUGUUUUUGGUUUUCUGUGCAAAUUGGUGAAGUGCUACCCCCCAACCCCUAUAGACACCUACAGAGACCUCCUACAAGGAAGGAAUCUCUGACCCUUCCCCACAGUGCCUUUCACAGUAAAAGUGAGGCUCUGCCUGCUGGCAGUGGCUGAUGCAACUCUGUCAGAGUGCCCUAUCCCAGCCUUUCCAGACGUGUGUCAGUGAGCAUGUAGGUCCCUUCUUCUCUCUUUCUCUUUCCUUCCUUCCUUCCUUCCUUCCUUCCUUCCUUCCUUCCUUCCUCCCUUCCUUCCUCCCUUCCUCCCUUCCUCCCUUCCUCCCUUCCUCCCUUCCUCCCUUCUUCCCUUCCUCCCUUCCUCCCUUCCUCCCUUCCUCCCUUCCUCCCUUCCUCCCUUCCUCCCUUCCUCCCUUCCUUCUUUUCUCUCUUUUUCUCUUUCUUUCUUUUUGUAUUUUUAUGUAUAUGAGUACACUGUUGCUCCCUUCAGACUCACACUAGAAGAGAGCAUUGAAUCCCAUCACAGAUGGUUGUGAGCCUCCAUGUGGUUGCUGGGAACUGAACUCAGGACCUCUAGAAGAGCAGUCAGUACUCUUAACCACUGAGCCAUCUCUUUAGCCCCCUACCCCACUUCUUCAUUCUCAUGUCAAUCCAGUCAGGUUUCCAGGACCGAGACAAGAUGGAUGCACUGCUGUGUGUGUGUGUGUGUGUGUGUGUGUGUGUGUGUGUGUGUGUGUGCAUGUGCAUGCAUGUGUGUGUGUGUUUGUGUGAGGGUAGGACUAUGUGCCUGUGCAAGCAUGUAUGUUCGUGUAUGUGCAUAUGUGUGUGUGUGUGCUGAAUAAAAUGCCUGCCACAUAGUAAACACACAAUUAA